rnacentral:rRNA from 1 species
AGUGAACGCUGGCGGUAGGCCUAACACAUGCAAGUCGAACGGCAACACAGUAAGAGCUUGCUCUUACGGGUGGCGAGUGGCGGACGGGUGAGGAAUACAUCGGAAUCUACUUUUUCGUGGGGGAUCACGUAGGGAAACUUACGCUAAUACCGCAUACGACCUACGGGUGAAAGCAGGGGAUAUUCUGACCUUGCGCGAUUGAAUGAGCCGAUGUCGGAUUAGCUAGUUGGCGGGGUAAAGGCCCACCAAGGCGACGAUCCGUAGCUGGUCUGAGAGGAUGAUCGGCCACACUGGAGCUGAGACACGGUCCAGACUCCUACGGGAGGCAGCAGUGGGGAAUAUUGGACAAUGGGCGCAAGCCUGAUCCAGCCAUACCGCGUGGGUGAAGAAGGCCUUCGGGUUGUAAAGCCCUUUUGUUGGGAAAGAAAAGCAGCAGGUUAAUACCCCGCUGUUCUGACGGUACCCAAAGAAUAAGCACCGGCUAACUUCGUG